GGAAGGUGGGGAUGACGUCAAGUCCUCAUGGCCCUUAUAGGUAGGGCUACACACGUCAUACAAUGGAUGGUACAAAGGGUCGCCAACCCGCGAGGGGGAGCCAAUCCCAUAAAGCCAUUCGUAGUCCGGAUCGCAGUCUGCAACUCGACUGCGUGAAGUCGGAAUCGCUAGUAAUCGUGGAUCAGAAUGUCACGGUGAAUACGUUCCCGGGUCUUGUACACACCGCCCGUCACACCAUGGGAGCGGGUUCUGCCAG
rnacentral:rRNA from 1 species